UACGUAGGGUGCGAGCGUUAAUCGGAAUUACUGGGCGUAAAGCGUGCGCAGGCGGUGAGUUAAGUCUGAUGUGAAAGCCCCGGGCUCAACCUGGGAAUGGCAUUGGAAACUGGCUCGCUGGAGUGUGGCAGAGGGGGGUGGAAUUCCGCGUGUAGCAGUGAAAUGCGUAGAGAUGCGGAGGAACACCGAUGGCGAAGGCAGCCCCCUGGGCCAACACUGACGCUCAGGCACGAAAGCGUGGGGAGCAAACAGG
rnacentral:rRNA from 2 species